rnacentral:tRNA from 1 species
UGCCUUUUCGCCGUGGUAGCGUUCCAGGCGUUGCAACUGUCCGUCGCGGGCGAAGACGCGGUCGGCGGCGCGGAUGCCGUCGAGGGUGA